rnacentral:rRNA from 1 species
GACAGAGGGUGCUAGCGUUGUUCGGAAUUACUGGGCGUAAAGGGCGCGUAGGCGGCUCGUUUAGUCGGGUGUGAAAUCCCGGGGCUCAACCCCGGAACUGCAUUCGAUACUGGCGGGCUAGAGACCGGAAGAGGUGGGUGGAAUACCCAGUGUAGAGGUGAAAUUCGUAGAUAUUGGGUGGAACACCGGUGGCGAAGGCGGCUCACUGGUCCGGUUCUGACGCUGAGGCGCGAAAGCGUGGGGAGCGAACAGG